GCCGACGUAGCUCAAUUGGUAGAGCAGCGGUUUUGUAAACCGCCGGUUCCGGGUUCGAGUCCCGUCGUCGGCUCCA
rnacentral:tRNA from 4 species